CUCUCUCUCUCUCUCUCUCUCUCUGUCCUUGCCUCUCCUUGUGCCGUUUCCCUUCAUAGGACACGGGCAGUGGUGCUAGCUGUGCAUCCCCGCAGGCUAGGUCUCAGGAACCAUGAAGAAGUAGGAGGGGAUGAAAAUCAUGCUGGACAGUGGGUGCAAGAGUGGAGCGGUGACUGUCAGUGUGUACUCGGUCUGUAUUCAUUGAGUGGAUUUCACGCAGCAAUAGAGCUGUAUGUAGUGAUGUCUCAUGCUUGGCUUUUGCAGCUGCGCUUCUAGAGGAAGCAUGGAGGAGCAGCAGCCGAAGGAGAAGGUGGCAGACGUGGACCUGAGCAGUUUGGGCAUUCUUCUAAGCAGAGAUUAACAGUCCUCAGCUUUCUGCCUUGCACAUAACUGGCUGCCGUGUGCUUCCUCGUUGGGUACAGGACUCUGUGGUAUUAAGGCUGGGGAGUGGCCAGAGUCUGCUGUUCAGAGUGACUGUCGGAUGCUGUUGCAAGGGCUGCUUUUUGGCUGAAAUGCUAAAGGUGUCAUGGGAAGAGGGUGGAGCGCUGCCGUGUGGGAGAGGUGAAAAGAAGAGCUAAUGCGAUGUUGCCCGCUUAGAUGCUGCGCUUGCAGAGGAAUUGUCCAGGAGCCCCAGCCCA